rnacentral:rRNA from 1 species
GACGAACGCUGGCGGCGUGCUUAACACAUGCAAGUCGAACGGAAAGGCCCUGCUUGCAGGGUACUCGAGUGGCGAACGGGUGAGUAACACGUGGGUGAUCUGCCCUGCACUUCGGGAUAAGCCUGGUAAACUGGGUCUAAUACCUGAUAGGAGCUAUAUUGAGUGUGAUGGUUGGAAAGUUUUUUCGGUGUAGGAUGAGCCCGCGGCCUAUCAGCUUGCUGGUGGGGUAAUGGCCUACCAAGGCGGCUGCGGGUAGCCGGCCUGUGAGGGUGGACGGCCACCUUGGGACUGAGAUACGGCCCCGGCUCCUACGGGAGGCCGCAGUGCGGAAUCUUGCCCGAUGGGCGCCAGCCUGAUGCAGCGAGGCCGCGUGGGGGAUGACGGCCUUCGGGUUGUAAACUCAUUUCGCUAGGGACGAAGCUUUUUGUGACGGUACCUAGAUAAGAAGCCCCGGCUAACUACGUG